rnacentral:rRNA from 1 species
UCCAGGCGUCGAGUGGCGGACGGGUGAGUAACGCGUAGGAAUCUGCCAGAUAGUGGGGGAUAGCCCGGAGAAAUCCGGAUUAAUACCGCAUAAUCUCCAUGGAGUAAAGAGGGCCUCUAUUUAUAAGCUUUCGCUAUCUGAUGAGCCUGCGUAAGAUUAGCUAGUUGGUGGGGUAAUGGCCUACCAAGGCGACGAUCUUUAGCUGGUCUGAGAGGAUGAUCAGCCACACUGGGACUGAGACACGGCCCAGACUCCUACGGGAGGCAGCAGUGGGGAAUAUUGGACAAUGGGGGCAACCCUGAUCCAGCAAUACCGCGUGUGUGAAGAAGGCCUGAGGGUUGUAAAGCACUUUCAAUUGUGAAGAAAAGUUAAUAGUUAAUACCUAUUAGCCUUGACGUUAACUUUAGAAGAAGCACCGGCCAACUCCGUGCCAGCAGCCGCGGUAAUACGGAGGGUGCAAGCGUUAAUCGGAAUUACUGGGCGUAAAGCGUGCGUAGGCGGUUGACUAAGUCAGAUGUGAAAGCCCCGGGCUUAACCUGGGAACUGCAUUUGAAACUGGUCAACUAGAGUAUGGUAGAGGAAAGUGGAAUUUCUGGUGUAGCGGUGAAAUGCGUAGAUAUCAGAAGGAACAUCGAUGGCGAAGGCAGCUUUCUGGACCAAUACUGACGCUGAGGUACGAAAGCGUGGGUAGCAAACAGGAUUAGAUACCCUGGGUAGUCCACGC